AACGAACGCUGGCGGCAUGCCUAACACAUGCAAGUCGAACGAGAUCUUCGGGUCUAGUGGCGCACGGGUGCGUAACGCGUGGGAAUCUGCCCUUUGGUUCGGAAUAACAGUUGGAAACGACUGCUAAUACCGGAUGAUGACGAAAGUCCAAAGAUUUAUCGCCAGAGGAUGAGCCCGCGUAGGAUUAGCUAGUUGGGGGGGGAAAGGCGCACCAAGGCGACGACCCUUAGCUGGUCUGAGAGGAUGAUCAGCCACCCUGGGACUGAGACAAGGCCCAGACUCCUACGGGAGGCAGCAGUGGGGAAUAUUGGACAAUGGGCGAAAGCCUGAUCCAGCAAUGCCGCGUGAGUGAUGAAGGCCUUAGGGUUGUAAAGCUCUUUUACCCGGGAUGAUAAUGACAGUACCGGGAGAAUAAGCUCCGGCUAACUCCGUGCCAGCCGCCGCAGUAA
rnacentral:rRNA from 1 species